CAGGAGGAAUUACUAUGAGCUUAGUCCCUUCUCCAAAAAUCUUGAUCCAGCCUGAGGUAUAAAUCCAGAGGGCACAGUAAUAUGUAGCCUCAUCUUCUUUCUUUAAGAAACUGAUUUUCAAGGUGGAAGUGGAAGUGGAAGCAUAUUUUCUUGCCUCAAGUUUGUUUUUCUUCCCUCCUAAGUCGCCUAGAGCAGAUGCUGUCGAGAUGUACAUUAGCUGUUUCAGGCCCUGAUCUGGUUUCUGCUGGUACCAGUGUAUGUAAUCGUUGUCAAAGCUGUCAGAGGUCACCUUACAAGAUAGGAGUACACUCUUAUCUCUUACUCCAGUAACUGAUACUUCAGGUUGCUCCAACUGUGGCAGCAUAAGGCCAGCUGCAAGCAAAGAAGAGAAAUUCCCAUGAAUGAACGACAUGAAAGAGGCAACAUAAAAAAGACCCUCUUCAGUCUCUCCUGACGACUGAAAUGAUCGGGGGGCAACUCACAAGCCCAGAAGAAGGAGAAAAUGGCCACUUCCAGGAGUGUCAUCCCGUCACCAGAACGACGCCAGGGAGGAGUUGAUCUCAAUACUUUUCCUUACUUCAGUGGAAACGGAUACCUGGGACUGCUCCACUUUAGAUAACCCAAGUCCAACUGUGAAUAAAAGGAGAGAAUUUCCAGUGAGCUUUGGAUAAUAUAAGAAACAUCAAAGAAUUUCUCUGCUCACUCGUGUAAAAGAAAUGGUCAGGGAGUGACUCACGAGCCCAGAAGGAGAAGAAGGUGAAUGCUUCCAGCAGUGACAUCUUGGCUGCCAGGCUGUGUGCUCGAGGAAAAGACUUUCCCUGCCGAUCUGAAGAUAAGGCUAGUGGUCUCUGGAGGGCUAUUUGGCAUGAAUGUGUGGGAGCUGCAGGAGCAUCUUGAGUUCUGUGGGAAUGCGAAUGGUGUCUACUUGCCUAGGAGCUAUUUUAUGGACACUUUUUUCUCAGCAUAGUAUUUUAAAAUAUUGCAUGUUUAAUAAACAUUGACUUCUAUGGUAGGAAAUAUUUAAUGAGCAUUUUCAUUGGUUAGGCUUCUUUUUUCUAAAUGUUUCUCAUCUCACAGCACAUCACAUGGUACUGAUGCUGGCAGUUCUCAUUUUAUAGACCAGGAAAACGAGUUUCAGGGGAGUGCCAUGACUCAACAGAAGCACCCAGCUCAGACGCGGAACAAGCUCAUUGAAGAAUUUCAGAGAAACAGGGCAAAGAUGAAAAUAAAAAUGUUUGUUAUCACAUAGUCACGACAACAACUCUUAUUAUUAUGAUGUCUUAACUGCUGGACUUCUUCUCUGCGAUAUACGGAUAUGAACAUGAUAUUGUGGAUUAUAAAUGUAUUCAUUAGCCACUCUGUCUUUUGAUUGGAGCGUUUAUUCUACUUACAUUUAAAGUAAUUAUUGACACACAGUCACUUUUUGCCAUUUCAUUAAUUGUUUGUGGGCUUUUUUGUGGUUCGUUUUGUUCUUUUCUUCUUCUUUUGUUCUCUUUCCUUUGAUUUAAUUAUUGUCUUCCGUGUUAUGUUUGCGUUCCUUUCUCUUUUGUGUGUGUAUUUAUUAUAGAUUUUUUGGCUUGUGGUUACCAUGAGGUUUAUAGGUAGCAAUCUGUAUAGAAUAUUAUAAGUUUCUUACCUGUUAAGUUCGAAUGCAUGUUAACGACGCACUUUUACUCCACACCCCCCACGUUUACUGUCUUUGAUACCAUGUUUUACUUCUUUUUGUUUUGCGUGGCUUUAACUGCUUCCUACCGAUGCAGAUGGUUUUACUACAUGUCUUUUAACCUUCCCGCUAGCUUUCUAUGUGGUUGAAUUACUGCUUUUCCUAUAUAUUUGCCUUUAUCAAUGAGAUUUUUCCUUUCCUAAUUUUCAUAUUUCUAUUGUGGCCUUUUCUUUUCUACUUAAAGGAGCCCCUGUGUCAUUUCGUAUAAAGCUGGUUAGGUGGGGCUGAACAUUCUUAUCUUUUUCUUAUCUGUAAAACUUUUGAUAUCUCCAUCAAAUCUGCAGGAAUGCCUUCCUGGGUAGAGUGUUGUUGGCUGUGGGUUUUUCCCUUUCAGCAUUUAAAAAAUUUCACGCCACUCUCUUCUUGCCUGCAAAUUUUCUCAGAAAAGUCAGCCGAUAGCCUUAUGGGAGCUCCCUUUUAUGUAACUUGUUGCUUUUCCCUUGCAGAUUUUAAUAUUCUCUCUUUCAUUCUUUCCGUUUUAAUUACAACGUGUCUUGGUGUGGUCCUCUUUGGACUGAUCCUCUUUAGGACUCUCUUCGCUUCCUGGUCCUGGAUUUCUGUUUCCUUUUCCUGCGUAGGGAAGUUUUCAACUACGAUGUCUGCAAAUAAUGUUCUCUUCCUCUUUUCCUCCCUCUUCUCUCUCUGGACUCUUACAGUGAAAAUGUUAGUAUGCUUGAUGCUGUCCAAGAGGUCUCUCAGAUUAUCCUCAUUUCUUUUUUUUUCUUUUUAUUCUUUUUACUUUUUUUCUGUUCAGCUUUUGUGAUUUCUGCCUCUCUGUCUUCCAAUUCACUGAUCUGUUCCUCUAUACCAAGGAAUCUAUUUUUUAUUUCUUCUAAUGUAUUUUUUAUUUCAUUUAUUGUAUUCCUUAUUUCCACUUGAUUCUUCCUUAUAUUUUCUAACUCUUUGUUACAACCUUCUAAUUCCUCACUCUGUUCGUGUAAUCUACUUCUGAGCUGUCUGAAUGUCUUUAGGAUCAUCACUUGGAACUCCUUAUCAAGUCGAUUGCUUAUCUCCACUUCACACAGUUCUUCGUCUGGGGUUUUAUCUUGUUCAUUCAUUUGGAGCAUAUUCCUCUGUUGCCUCAUUUUGCUUAAUUGGCUGUGUUUAUUUCUCCGUAUUUGGAAGUGUGGUUCUAUUUCCUGACCUUGGGGACAUAGCCUUUUUUAGGAGACACGCUAUAUGUCCCAGCAGUGCACUCCCCUCUUGUUACCUGAAUGAGAUGCUCUAGGGGUGCCCCGUAUGUGAGCUGCGUGACUCCCUUAGUUGUGCUGGGCUGACUACUCUGACGGUUCUGGUAAGGGUGGCUGGCCCCCAAUCCAGUUUGUUGUCCCCAGUCAAGUGUGUCCCAAGUUGACCUUCUAGCCAUGACCUCUUGAGUGGCUACUCAUUCUGACUUGACCAGGCUCUGCUCAGCUGGGCAAUAGAACUUGGUCACAAAUGCCAAAGUAUAUUCUUAUAAAAUUAAUAGACACUAAGGGUAUUCAACAGUGCAGUUGAAACAGCACGGACUAUUUGUUUGGACUGAUUACUGCCUCUCUCAAAGCAGCAGUUCCUUCUUGCAUGAAACAUACUUAUUAGCAGGGUUUUAAUGGUUAUCACAUGAGCUUCUGAACACUUGUGUCCUCCUGCACAUUAUCUGGCAGCCCGUGGGGGCUACAUGGAUAUGAAUUCCGUUACAUUUCCUCGUUAGUGCCUCUAGCCUGAGCCUCUCACAAUUACUGAAAAUCUCUGGGAGAUGAAAUAAUGCACCUUGCCCUCUCUUCUCUCUCAGAUAAUCAGCCCAUUUCAACAUACAUAGUCUCUAACUAGGAACCCACAGCAGUAGGAACUGAUGUCAAGCCAGACAUUUAGGGGCACAGUUACUAACAUCUGUGGGGGUACAGUCGAUAGCCAUCAGGCUCCCUUUCCUCUUUCAUUUGACAUGAGGCAUCGGCCCAAGAAGCACAGGAAAUGCUGCGGGCUGAGGCUGAGGUCUGGGCUCAGGACCAAGGUUGCUCCGCGUUGGGAAGGAUGUGGUCACGGUCAAGAUAAGGGCUCUAAUGGUACUGUAGGUUCCCAGGGGCCCUUAUAUUAGGUCUUCAUUUCCUCUUCUUCUGUGAAUUUUAUGUACUCCAUGGUUGCGCGGUCGCACAUGACCCUCAGAAGCCCGAUUUGGUGUCAGCACCUUUACGUGUAUGAAAAGUUACAUCUCAAUACCUUACAGUGAACACAUAUGUUUCUUUUCUGCUAUUGAAAUAAAUAUUUUCAUUUGCUUCAAUUAUAUCUGUCCGGUUUUAUACAUAAACAAAAGAAUAGCAUUUCCAACAAGAAGCAAAAUUAUUAAGACAAAAACAUUACUUUCUUUUUUGCUGGCACAAGUUAUUUUAUUUUUAUAGACGUAUAGUUGAUUUACAAUAUUAUAUUAUCUUCAGAUGUACACCAUAGUGACUCAAUAUUUUUAUAGAUUUUACUUCAUUUUAAAUUAUUACAAAAUAACAGCUCUACUUCUCUGUGCCGUUGCUUAUGUAUUUUACACAUAUUAGUUUGUGUCUCUUAAACCCACACCCCAUCUUGCCCUCCCCACUUCCCUCUCCA